GAUGAACGCUAGCGGCAGGCUUAACACAUGCAAGUCGAGGGGCAGCACAGGUAGCAAUACUGAUGUGGAGGUGGCGCACGGGUGAGUAACACGUAGGUAAUCUGCCUUCAGGUCUGACAUAACCCCGGGAAACCGGGGCUAAUAUCAGAUGAUGCAGCGGCUUGACAUCAAGACAGUUGUUAAAGCUUCGGUGCCUGAAGAUGAGCCUGCGUCUGAUUAGCUAGUUGGCGGAGUAAUGGCCCACCAAGGCUACGAUCAGUAACUGGUCUGAGAGGAUGAUCAGUCACACUGGAACUGAGACACGGUCCAGACUCCUACGGGUGGCAG
rnacentral:rRNA from 1 species